rnacentral:rRNA from 1 species
CAGCUUAGACUUCGGUCUUUGCAAUUGCUUGGGUGUCGAAAGGCGCCCAAUCUUUAAAACUUUUAUAUUUGUUCUGAAACAAUGAAAAUUUAAAACUUUCAACAACGGAUCUCUUGGUUCUCGUAUCGAUGAAGAACGCAGCAAAGCGCGAUAGGUAAUGCGAAUUGCAGACGUGAGUCAUUGAAUUUUUGAACGCAUAUUGCGCUAUUAGUUUGUCUAAUAGCAUGCUUGUUGGAGUGAUAAUCUUCCUCUCAACCAUUUUUGGUAUGAGGUCUUGCUCCUUUUAGGAGUUAAAAUCAUGGAAGUGCACACGUUAAUUAACUCUGUGCAGUUAUACACUUUUCAUCCUCCAAUCAAGCAAGGUUACCCGCUGAACUUAAGCAUAUCAAUAAGCGGAGGA